rnacentral:rRNA from 1 species
GACGAACGCUGGCGGCGUGCUUAACACAUGCAAGUCGAACGGAAAGGCCCUGCUUUUGUGGGGUGCUCGAGUGGCGAACGGGUGAGUAACACGUGAGUAACCUGCCCUUGACUUUGGGAUAACUUCAGGAAACUGGGGCUAAUACCGGAUAGGAGCUCCUGCUGCAUGGUGGGGGUUGGAAAGUUUCGGCGGUUGGGGAUGGACUCGCGGCUUAUCAGCUUGUUGGUGGGGUAGUGGCUUACCAAGGCUUUGACGGGUAGCCGGCCUGAGAGGGUGACCGGCCACAUUGGGACUGGGACACGGCCCAGACCCCUACGGGGGGCAAGAGGGGGGAAUAUUGCACAAGGGGCGGAAGCCGGAUGCAGCAACGCCGGGGGGGGGAUGACGGCCUUCGGGUGGUAAACCGCUUUCGCCUGUGACGAAGGGUGGGGGGCGGUAAUGGGGAAAGAAGCACCGGCUAACUACGU